GGAUCAAUGGAGUAGCGGUAACCUGGAUCGUUGCCACCGGGUUUGAACUCGACCCGCCGGGGGUUCGAUUCCCCCUUGAUCCA